rnacentral:lncRNA from 1 species
GGCGCUGGUUCUGGAUCUAGCUAUGCUAACAGGUAUUGGUAUGGAUCAAACGACGCAGGUGCUAAUGCUAAUGGCAAUGGUGGUGGCACAGGAAAUAGUCAAAAUGGUGGCGGUGGCGGUGGUUCUGGUGCCGGAACUGGGUAUGGCAAUGCCUACCCAUAAAUUCCAUAUAAGCCAAUCUAAAGUUGGAGCCCAUCGUAGUCCUUCCUUGUUUGAAGUCAUAAAGUUGUUUGUUUUCUUUGUCCCCUUUGUUACACUUUUUUAGCAGUAAAUUAAUAAAGGGUCCAACUGUUCUAGCAACAGUAGCAGUCUUGUAAGGUCCUUAUAUUAAGAUGUUGUAAUCAUGUGGCCACUGUAUCUAAAAAAAUUCUUAUGUUUCCUUUGCAGUGAUUAAGUUUUUUUAGAUAAUGGAUAAAAGUAUCUGGCCUCUACAUCGAGGGAUGUACACAGCCAAUUAUUAUAGAGUUUUGGAUAAAAUAAAAGAGAAACCUUAGUCUUAUAGAUCGACUAGGACGCUAGUUCAAACAAUAAAUAUAUUUUCAUCCUUUAUUGGAUAUCUCUAAAGCAAUUAUUUCUAAUUUCUUGCUCAUCGUUGAGAGUGCGUCCGCGGCUGUCUUAUCAUGCUCCAACAGGGCCCAAGUUCGUAACAAGGAUGACCCAUGCAACAUAAAUUGAGUGUAUUGAAGUUAUUAGGUAACAAGGAUGAUCCCAUGCUAUACUUGCCUUAAACUAAGAUCCUUCUUCAAGUCCAAACCUUUAAAGAACUGCUUCUAGAUUCACCACAUAUAGCUCACCGACUGGAGAAGAUCAAAAGGCACCACACAAGCAUCCGAACAAACAUGCAUAGCAAACAUAUUAAGUUUAGAACACUACAUCAAUCAAUAAAAAGGUUUGAAAACUAAUCUACGCAUUACUACGAGCACAAAGCCAUGAAAAGCACUCUAAUCGGAGCUAUGGUGUAAAACAAAUAACUAAUGAAAGAUUUGCAAGAGUAAAGACUAUAUGCUUGUUUUUUUUUAAUUACAAAACCGUGAAAUGAUAUUUAGUCAUUUUAUAUUUUAAUUGAAAAGCUGAGUUACUAGUCAUAUUUGCAAACAUGUCUCAUAUCAUUUAAGUCAUUUGAACCUUACUUUGGAACAGAAAUAAUCGGGUGAGAAUAUCGAUUUGAGUUUAUAUAAUCAAGUUCAAACUAAGCACAUUGUAUUUAUGUAAUGAUAACAUAGUUAAGUUGUUUUAAUAAAAUUAACAUUUACUUAGAAAAGAGUCAUGUAUAGAACCUAUAUUAAUUUUUAAUUAGAACCUAGUUGCAUAAGCAUUAAUCAUGUAUUAACUUUUAUUUUAUAAAAUUCACAAACAUGUUAUAUGGUAAACAUCAUAACUAGCACGUAGAUUGCAUAGAAUUAAGACUUAACACAAAAAAGAGACUUGAAUCGGUAGUAGAUUGAAGAUUUAGGGGUCUACUGAAAAGGAUGCAACGACCAAAUGAUCAGUCCAUGCAAGUAAAGAAUAGUUCAAGAGCGCUUCUGUUUAUUUUUCAAGAAAGAAAGAUUAUUGUGGAAAGGUGAGAUAAGCAUAUAACACCAGCCAUAUGUAAUUGAUAAAUUACAAUUGCAAGGAACUAAGGUGUGGACGAUGGCUAGUUAGUCAUGGACGUGCUGCUCUCCAAGCUCAGCAUGAUUAUGGUGCCUAUAUGUCCUUGUCCUCUCGAUAUGAUAUGAAUGUAACUUGGAUUUUUUAGUAACUAACCCAUGCUAUGAUUUAUAGAAUGCAAGCGCACAAUUGUGAAAAAAUCCCAAGCCUGAAAGUCAGGUAUGUAGACCCUCAACCCAUAGCACAAACAAAUUUUAAUUACCCCACACACUGGAAAUUGGAUUGCAAAGAGCUAACUCUAGAAAGACGGUUGCAGUGAAAGAGGCAAUCCGUAUGAGGAAAAUAAGGGGAUAGUGCCUUAAGGUUGCGGCAUACAUUGUUGUAUCUUUUAUGCAUCUGCAACAUAACAUUAUCAUAUGGGUACCAUACAACUCGAAAUAAGCUCGACUCCAUACAACAUAACAUUAUCACGGAAGGCAUUGUCCAAAAGCACAAUUUGGGUAUCAAAACUCUAUGUUAGGUAAGUGUAACUGUAACACCCUAAAAUUUACUUCUUUAGAAAUAGAGUUAAAACAAUUUAUUUUUGUAUUUUUAUGCUCGUGAAAACAUAGGAAAAUAAUAUGUUUCAUCAAACUAAAAUCUAAUAUAAGAGUUAGCAACAUGUCUGAGCAUGCAUGCCACUGCAUUUUAUUUAUUGUGAUGAGUGUAUUUGAACCCAAAAUUUAAAAAUUAUUCAAAAUGAUUCGCAAAUUGGUUUGAAAUAAGGUUUUCAAAUAAAAAAAGAGAAAGAAGAAAACCUUCUCCUUCUCAGUUUGGGCCGGAAGGCCUGGUUCUUUCCCCAUCCAGCGGCCCAACUCCCUUCCCCACACCUGCGUAGCAUCGGCCCGAGUGGCCCAGCUUCCCCUCCCCUUCUCCUAGGCCAGAGCAUAGCUUCCUCCUUUGCUCUCGGGCGAGAGGCUAGCUUCCCCAAAACGCUAUCUGGUCGGCCCAGCCAACGGUGUCGAUGCGCCCCACCUCCAUUUUGUGCUAAUAGCCCGGCCCGCUUCCUGAGUCGCUGACAACCCAGACCCAACAGUCAGUCGCAUUCUCUCCAUCUUCCCUGUGUCGUCGAGCCCAACUUAGGCCCGGACCGAGGCACAUCGAGAUUUCCACGGGAUGUUCUCUGUGGGAAGAUCUCCCUUGCCCCUUUUAAGUGUUGAGAGCCCCCUCGGCGAUCUCCUUUUGCAUCUUCACACGGCCGCGUAGCCCUAGCCGCCCUCCCAUCAUCGCUUGGAUCUCACGAAACCGGCAGACCCGGCCGCUGCAGUCAAGCUCUCUACUCGCUGCUGUUCCGUGGAAAUCGAGCUUUGCCGAGCUUCGGAUUGAGGUUGCGAACCUCCCUGCACUUCCCAUCCUCUUUUUCUCCCUCUCUAUGUUAUUGUUGAUCGCCGAACUCGUGUAGGAAGCUCCCGUCCGCCAUCCAGCGUUGCCAGCCAUCUUCGAGCCCUCCCCGACGUUGCAAAGCUCCUAGGUGAGUAUGCAACGAGCUUCUCUCACUCCCCAUGUUUACGGUUUGCUAAAUAGUGUCCUAAAUCACCGUUUUAGCAACACCAGCGAGCCUUCGGCCAUGGUGCUGCCGGGUUCUCCCUCUGUUCUAGUGGUCGGAGCCACCCUGAGUCACCACAGCCGUUCAUCUCAAGAUUGACGGCCAAAAAUAAAACAUACCCCUUCACUUGCACUUUUUAUAAAGAGCCCUUGGAGUUUUUCAAAAUAUAACCCAUAGUCCUUGGCGCUUUUUGUCAAUAUGCCUUUCCCGUUGAAAACAUAUUUCACCCUAUUUGAAUUCAAAAUACAUUUUCUCUAUUUACAAAAUUGCCACUGAUUUUGUUUUAGUCAUAAAAUAUUUGACCCAUUCAAAUUGUGUUAGAUUUGUCUUCACGGGAUCUACUUGUUAGUAAUCUUGGUUCAUCGGUUAGAAAAUUCAUAUCUUCUCCAUUUUAGCUCUGAUUUUUGUGAUCUUUACAUCUACGUGAUCGUAGUGAUGCAUAGAAUCAUUUUAUAAACUUUUCACAUUGCUUUGCUAACGGUUGGUUUACUGUUCUAAUCACAAAUUUGUUUGUUUCGUGUAUGUUUGGCUCUGGUUUGCUUGUGCGUUGCUAUUCGAUGAUCGAGUGUAGGGUGAGCAAUUCGUUGGUGAUCAAGAGUGCUACUACGAUCAAGAUCAGUACCUUGACGACUAGAAGAAUCAGCAGGAGCAAUGGGAAAGCUUUGAUCAAGGCAAGUAUAGCAUUGGGUUUUCUUUAUGGAGAUGAGUUAAUACCCGAAGUUUAGAGUUGUCUAUCCGCUGUUUGCUAUUAAAGGUUAUCUCUUUUGUACUAAGUACGUUAUAUAUUUAUGCGUUGUCUUUUGAUAUUACCCCUUACUUGUAGCUAUAUGUGAGAUUUGGCCUUUAAUACUCGCAUAUGGUGCAUAUCUGGUUUUGUCCUUAAAAUCGGGUAUUACAAAGUGGUAUCAGAGCAAUGCUGACUGUAGGACGCAAGCCUAGUUAGAACUGGACGUUUUAGCAUGCUUCUAUCUUUGCUUACUUCUUGCUUCCACCUUGACCUUGAUAGUUGCUAAAAGUUAUGCUUACUUCUUGCCUAGUUCUUUUAUAAAAUCUUGUCUCUAUUCUAAAUCCUCCCUCUUUGUCUCUUUAGAUGGAUCAUAACGAAGAGACCUUUGACAAGAAGGAACAAAAGCACCCAGAUUUGCCAACCGUAAAAGCAUUCGACAGGGAGAAGCUUCUAGCCAUGCAAACACAAGUAGUGAAAGGAAUAACUCAGAAUAAGAACUCUCAGCAACGCAUCUCAGGACCAGUGAGGAGACAAGUAGCAGAAGCUUGGAAAAAUAUGAGAAAUCAUGGAAGCGUUGGGAGUAAUACAUCAGGAUACCAGGAUCAAUGCCACUGUUGUGAGCAUUAUGGUCUUCCUUGUCUUCGGAAUAUGUCAUCUAAAAAGGAAGUUAAGAAAAAACCAACUUGUGUGACUAAUGAGAAUAAGAAGAGGAAGGCAAAAGCACUAGAGCCGGCAUUGGGAAGUGAUCAACACCCAAAUCCUAAGAUGUCACAUGUAGCUUCGAAUUCUCGUCAGGAAAACCCAAACCUUGGAGAUGAACAAAUUCCCCAAGCUAAUCCCACUGCUCAUGAGUUAUGCAUAGAUGGAUGGACAAUCACUUAUAAAGAGUUUCAACCUCAAAGGAUCAAGCAAUAUAGGAAGAAAUCUAAUCAUACGAAGAUAAACCACCAGAGUCAGCGAGUUCAUGACACACCGAACAACACUUCAGUAGAAAAUAACAUCACAAAGGAUCCAGCUAAGAGAAGGUGUUAUCACUGCCAACAAGAAGGACAUUAUAUAAGCUCUUGUCCACAAAAGAAGCAACAGAUGCAUCGUGAAGAUAACCACGCUAAGUCUAAGAUAUAGGUGUCUGUGUCCCCUGGUGUAAUAAAAAUGCUAGUAGCGAAAGUUGAGUUUGUGUGCCCUGUGAACCUUUAAUGCUUAAUUGCUUGUUAUUAUGUUGUUGACGCCGUUUUUGGACGCGUACCCAGGAAUCGGUAAAGAAUAGAUCGGCAGAAGGAACAACGGUAACUGGUCUACAGGGAAGUUGCCGAUGAGGGUGAUUGCCGAUGAAGAGACGGCUGAAUGUGACUAAGUCCAGAAGUGGUGACGCGUUCGUGCCAAUGGUCAGCGUUAGUCUUUGCCGAUGGUUAUGAUAAGAAGUCUGCCGAUAACUCGGAAGAAGAACGUGAAGGCUGUCGAUUGACCUGUGGUGGUGUCCCGUUAUGUUACGGGAGGAUAGUUUUAUGUUUUCCAUAGAUAUUUUAAUUCGUUUUGUAUAUGGAUUCCGAUUAAUUUGGAGUUUGAGUCCUAGUCGUGUCUGAUUGUAGCUCUUUGAGUAGGGUAUAAAUGUAGACCCUAGGGCCUUGUAACGAAACAUCUAUCAAUCAAUUAAACACAAGUUUUUACUCAUAUUCCAGCAUCUACUUUUUUGACGACUUAAGCUCGGCGUGUUCUCAAGUUCCGCGUGAUCACCUCUUGGCCGUGACAUCCGGGCGCAUCGCUGUUGUCGGGACCAAAGUGGUCGAGUUAUCACCUUUGCCGAUAGUAAGGUCAAAUCGGCUGGCACGCCUUAACGUUUGAAUCGGGUAUUAGCCAUUUGUGUUUGCAGAUCAACUUUUGCACCAACACAUCUUUUGGCACGCCCAGUGGGACUCAGAUUCAAGAUCAAGAUCGACAUGGCGACUAGCGAUUUCGACUUGGAGAACGUCAUCCCCGUGACGGAAGCCAAUCUCAGAGAUGAGCAGAAGCUAGCUAUUGCAAAAGCUAUGGAGGACUACAAGCAGCAAUGUUUGAAAUCCUUCAGUACCAACAGGAGUGGUGAGGUGAUCCAGAAGGAAGCACUGUCGGCUCCCUGGCAGGUUACUUUCGAAGCCAAUCCUGGUAAACUCCAAGACAUGGUUGAUAGUGCUAUUAACCGUGCCUUGAUCAAUCAAGCUGGUGUGCUGUCCAAUAUGGUUUUCAAUGUCGUGGCUAGAACUUUAAAAGAAGGACAAUUGCCACCAAAUUAUGUGGGUCCUUCUCAUCAUCAGCCAGGAUCACCGGUGGUCAUAGCUCCAUCGGUUGCUACAGCCACUGCGGGUAUAGAAACUGUCGUUCCUCCAAGCACGUUAGGAGUCACUAAUGCGCAAUCCACACCGAUGUUGGCCAAUCCAUCAACAUCAGAUGAGUCAACCAAGCUGACCACAGAUCUAUUGGCGUCGGCAAUGUCGGGAUCUGUUCCUCCUAACUGGUGGGGUUUUGGUAUGCCCCCAGAGUUUAUGUUGAAGACACCUGGCGCAUCUCAAACGGCUGAUGUGAGAGGCAAGGCUCCUAUGGCACUGGCACCUCCAAACAUGCCGAUGAAUCAGAGUCCCCAGUAUACUACAACUACUACUGCAAGACCUUACACUGGGAAUUCUCAAGCUCCAACAUUCCAGAUGCCUAACACAUCGGCAGAUUCAAUACCGACGCAACAGAGGUUUAUGACUCAGCCGGGGUAUGUCAACUCAAUGAUGAUGCCCAAUUUCCAGUCAUCGGCAGGGUUUAUGCCGAUGAAUGCCAACAAUGGAUGGAUAGGGCAGCAAGUCUUUCCAUAGAUGCCUCAACAGAAUCAUCAGGCUACAGGGUUUCAACAAGGCCAAAUCCAACCUGGGUUCCAGAAUCAAGGGUUGGUCAACCAGCCGAUGAAUCUUGGUCAACAGUUUGGUGGUCAGAUGAUCAACCCUAUGUUCCAUGCAGAUCGUGCACCUCAGCAACACGUAGAGGUUUAUCAGCAGGUGCCAGAUCCACAACCACCUCAUCGGCAAGAUGCCGAUGCUUAUUGGGCCGAUAAGAUUGCUGAAGUAAUGAGAGACCAGUUUGGGAUAAAACCGAAAGUCAAUACUUACUCUUAUCGGACACCGUAUCCUCCUGCAUAUGAUUUAAUCUCACUUCCAAAUUGGUACAAGGUACCCGAUUUUACUAAGUUUUCUAGACAGGAUGAUACGUCAACUAUGGAGCAUGUCAACAGGUUUAUCAUCCAAUGUGGCGAGGCUGCUAACAGAGACGAAUUGAGAGUUCGCUUGUUCUCGUCAUCCUUGUUUGGAUCGGCUUUCACCUGGUUUAUUUCAUUGCCUCCUAACUCAGUGAUUACUUGGGCCGAUCUAGAGAAGCAAUUCCAUAAAUACUUCUUUUCUGGAGUCCAUGAGAAGAAGAUCACCGAUUUGGUCAAAUUUAAGCAACGCAAUGAUGAAUCGGUUGAAAGUUUUGUGCAGAGAUUGCGGGAGGUCAAGAACAAAUGCUAUAGUCUGGUUUUGGACGAUCGGCAGCUAGCCGAUUUGGCUUUCCAAGGUUUAUUGCCACAUGUCAGGGACAAGUAUGCCUCUCAAGAAUUCAAAAGCUUAAGUCAUUUGGUGUAGAGAAUUUCUGAUCAGGAUAUCAGACCUUUUGAGCCCAAGAGAGCAUGGAACAAAAAGGUGUCAUUUGUUGAUGAAGCAACAAGCUCAGAUUCUAAUGAGGAGCCAGUCAUCGGUUUGGCAGAGUGGGUAAAAAACAAGAAGCCGAUGUCUUGCCCUUACGGGCAUAAAGAGCCGGAGAAGUUCGCAUUUGAUAUCACUAAAGCCGAUAGAAUAUUUGACUUUCUACUUCAAGAAGGCCAGAUCAAGUUGUCGCCCAAUCAUGUGAUCCCAUCGGCUAAAGAAUUAAGGAAGAUGAAAUAUUGCAAGUGGCACAAUGCGACUUCUCACAGCACCAAUGAAUGCAAAGUUUUCAGGCAACAGCUGCAAUCGGCUAUAGAAUCUGGGAGAAUAAGGUUUGAUAGUUCUAAAGCUCAGAAGCCGAUGAAGAUUGAUCAACAUCCUUUCCGAACAAAUAUGCUGGAUGCUAAGGGAAAGACUAAGGUUUUGAAGUCAGAAGCAGCUGAAAAGAGUGCGUCGGUAGAUCCUCAGCACCAAAUUACUGUUGCCGAUGCCAAAGGGAAAGGCUUGAUCCAAGAAAGAAAUAGCUCAGGAAGGCCUCCCCGAUCCGGUAUUGUGAUAACUCAUAGAAGGCGUCGGGAAACUUGGCAGCAACGUGAAGAUCGGUAUCGGCGCCAGCAAGAAGACUAUCGUCGGGAAGAAGAAAGACGACGACAGGAAUGGAAUCGGCACAGAGAUCACUGGAACUGCCCGUUCUUCAUCGAUUGCUGGGAGCAGAAUAUUAAAUUACCCACUGUUAGAGAUUGCCCUGGAUGCAAUGGUUAUGAUCGGUAUGAUAGAUCCGAUCGGCGCUAUCAUAAUGAUGAUCGGCAGUUUAGUGGGCCAAUUAGGGGAAGAGCGUCAGUUCAUGAUUGGCUGGGGGGCAGACUCAGUGUACACGAUAGGCUUGGUGAUCGUGUUCAAUAUUUUCCCAGGAAUCAAGAAGAGCUUGAAGAGAUGGUAAAUGCACGAGUUCCUGAUGAGUUCAUAUUUUGCAGGGACGCUAAUACUCAUUGGAUGGAGUCAAGGGAACAUCGUCGUCCAUCGGCAAGGCAGUCACCACUUCCCCCAUGGUGUCCAGAGGGGUUGACUAAGACAUAGAAAAGGAGACUGCAGCGCGAAAGACGAGAAGAGCUAAGCAAGGGCGAGGACUCUGGCCAGUCUGGGGAUCAGCAACAACCAGAUCCUAAAGGGAAAGGGCCAUCAGCAGAUGUUAACAUGGUAUUUAUGUUGCCGAUGGAAUUCCUUGCGCCAUCCAGUGAUGACGAGGAGUUAGAGUUUUCCGACCAGAUAGCUCAGUUGGCUCUAGAUCCAAUGACAGCUAUCUUUGAAAAGCCCGCUGAUAAUGAAAGGCAGCAUCUUAAAGCUCUGUUUGUCAAAGGAAGAGUUGAUGGUCAGCCAAUGACUAAGAUAUUAAUAGAUGGUGGAGCUGCUAUUAACAUCAUGUCGUAUGCAGUCUAUCGGAAGCUUGGGAAAGGAGAUCAAGAUUUGACCAAGACUGAUAUGAUGUUGAAAGACUUUGAAGGGAAUGUGUCUCCAGUUAAGGGGGCAAUAUGCGUCGAGUUGACUAUCGGCAGCAAAACCUUGCCGAUAACCUUCUUUGUGAUCAGUGGAAAAGGUGCUUAUAAUUUGCUACUAGGGAGAGAUUAGAUUCACGCCAAUUGUUGCACCCCGUCUACGAUGCACCAAUGCUUGGUUCAGUGGGUAGGUGACAAAAUUGAGAUUGUCCCAGGAGAUUCUUCUUAUGUCGUCGCAUCGGUAGAGGCAGAUACCUAUGAAAGGACUAGGUGUAUCUUGGGAGAAAUUUGGGAGAAGGACUUCCUCAAAGUUGCCGAUUAUGAAAUUCCACCGAUCCAAGCAGUCGGUUCUGAUGAGGAGUUUUAAUGGAUAGGUUCGCAGAUGAUGGAAAAUUAGGCCAGGGAUUCACAUCGACCGAUGAUUUAGUAGAAGUAGAUAUAGGCAAUGGUGAUAAACCUAGACCUACUUUUAUUAGUGCUAAGUUAAAUUCUGAGUGUAAGCAGCAGUUAACCGAUUUGUUAAAGGAAUAUAAAGAUUGCUCUGCUUAGGAUUAUACUGAGAUGCCUGGUUUAGACCGAUCAAUCAUUGAACAUCGGUUACCUAUCAAGUCUGGAUUUCGGCCACAUCAGCAGCCAGCUCGCCGAUGUAAUCCUAAUAUCCUUCCUGAUAUCAAGGCCGAGAUAACCAAACUUAUCGAAGCUAAAUUUAUUCGGCAAUGUCGGUAUGCCGAGUGGAUUUCCAAUGUUGUUCCAGUCUACAAGAAAAAUAGGAAGCUUCGGGUUUGCAUUGAUUUCAGGAAUCUUAACAAAGCUACGCCGAUGGAUGGUUACCCAAUGCCAGUUGCCGAUCUACUAGUUAAUGCUGCGGCUGGACAUCGGAUCAUCAGCUUUAUGGAUGGUAAUGCAGGGUACAAUCAGAUAUUCAUGGCUGAAGAAGAUAUUCCAAAAACUGCAUUUAGAUGUCCUAGUCAUGUUGGGUUGUUUGAAUGGAUAGUCAUGACCUUUGGCUUGAAAAAUGUUGGUGCUACUUAUCAGAGGGCCAUGAAUUUUAUCUUUCAUGAGUUCAUCGGCAAUCUGGUGGAAAUUUAUAUUGAUUAUGUGGUGGUUAAGUCUGGAGAUUUCACAAAACAUCUUGACGAUUUACGAAAAGUGUUGGAAUGCACAAGGAAGCAUGGUUUAAAGAUGAACCCUAACAAGUGUGCAUUUGGUGUAUCGGCAGGGCAAUUCCUUGGUUUCAUGGUGCAUCAAAGGGGGAUUGAAAUUAGUAGGAGAUCCAUUGAUGCCAUCAAUAAAAUAGUUGCUCCUACCAACAAGACUGAGCUCCAGUCCUUGAUCGGCAAGGUAAAUUUUAUCAGGAGGUUUAUAUCUAACUUGUCUGGUAAAAUUCGUGCUUUCAGUCCUUUACUCAAGUUGAAAGCCGAUCAAGAAUUUAUAUGGGGGAAAGAGCAACAGUUGGCUUUAGAUGAAAUCAAGAAUUACUUGAUAAAUCCUCCAGUUCUGAUCCCACCUCAGCAUGGAAAGCCUUUCAGAUUAUAUUUAUCUACCGAUGGGAUGGUCAUCGGUUCAGCUUUGAUUCAAGAAUUUGAAGAGAAGGAGCGUGUAAUUUACUAUUUAAGUAGAAGAUUGGUUGAUGCUGAGACUAGAUAUUCGGCCAUUGAAAAGUUAUGUUUAUGCCUAUAUUUCUCAUGUAUUAAGUUGAGGCAUUAUUUGUUAUCGGCUGAAUGCACUGUUAUAUGCAAAGAUGAUGUGGUCCGAUAUAUGCUGUCUAUGCCGAUUAUGAGUGGUCGGAUCGGUAAAUGGAUCUUGGCACUGUCGGAAUUUGAUCUGCGUUACGAAUCGGGUAAAGCGGUUAAAGGACAGAUUAUGGCCGAUUUUGUGACUCAACAUUGCGAUGCAGUAGAGGCUUUGGAAAUUGUACCUUGGACGCUCUUCUUUGAUGGAUCCACGUGUGACCGGGGGGCAGGAAUCGACAUAGUAUUCAUUUUCCCUCGGGGAAGGAAAUAUGAGUUCGCCUUGCCGAUUGUUGCCACGUCAACAAAUAAUCAAGCCGAGUAUCAAGCUUUCAUAAUGGGUUUGGAAUUAUUAAGAGAAGUCCAUGCUGAUGCUGUUGAAGUCUUUGGGGAUUCUAUGCUUGUUAUAAAUCAAUUGGCUGGGAGCUAUGAAUGCCGAAGCGAAGUCCUGAUAGCUUACUAUGAAAAAAGUUUGCGACUAUUGAGGGAAUUCAGAGAUUUCCGAUUAGAGCAUAUUCCUCGAUUACAUAAUGAGGAAGCUAAUCGGUUGGCUCAGCAUGCUUCAGGGUAUCAACCCAUGGUUAACAUGUUAUCGGCAAUCGGUGCCGAUGAUUGGAGGAAGGAGAUCGUUGAUUAUUUAAAAGAUCCAUCCAGGAAAGUUGAAAGGCGUGUUCGGUUUCAAGCCACCAAGUAUGUGCUCCUUGUAGAUGAGUGUUGAUAUUUGGGAACGCAAUAAGGAAUUGAUCCGCAAGCGCACGGAUAUCGGUGAGCACUUCACCCGGGAAAUUAUCCAGAGUAUCGUAUUUAUUUUUUUACCACUAGGAGAAAGAGUGCAUCUGACUAACCGGUCUAUUACUACUAACCUUUAGGCACAAAGAAUGUCUUUCGAUGUGAGUGAUAAAUAGAGAAGACUGCAACCGUAGUCUCCUUCUAACCUUGGUAAGGAUGAUCUAUUGUUCUAAUGGGGAGGCUAACGGAAUCUAGACAACACAAAGGAUGUUCGACCCGCACCUAUAAACCCUAUCCUUCCUGCUAACGAGAUGUGAUCUACAAAGGUAGCUCGGAAUUGUCACGUUCCUCACUACUACCACGGUCCAGCUAGUCAGGGAAUAUCUAUGAGUACCCCAGCCUAAACACCACGUUUACGCCAGCAAUGAUUACUCUAAACUCUACGCGAAGAGAUUAAAGUAAACUCAUAAACCAUAAGAACAAUAAAACAAGAACUUACUAGAAUUUAGAAGUCGAAUUACUGAAGAAUCCUAGGAGCAAGCUUCGGGUUAGGAGAACUUGAUCCCGCAGGUACAAGCUUGGAGUAGACACCGACAGGCCGGGCUUCCUCCACUCUACACCUCCACUCUAUCUCUCUCAAUCUAGUAGAAACUAGAAGAUCUAUUUCUACCUUACAUUGGUUGCUAAGCCUAAAAAGAAAUAUUAAUCAGAGAAGAGGUUUUCCUUCGAGGGCACCCCUCAGUCUCUAUGAUAAUUUCUUCAUGUCUUCUCCAGGGGCCAGGGGCCUUGCUUAUAUAGUCCUCCCCUUCUAUGCGUUUUUGGGUCGAUAGGCGAGGUGGUACUAUGUUUUUCUUGAUCCAAUAGGUCGGUGGAAUAUCCCGAGCGAAGAGAGUCCUGAUCUGGCUCCAGAGGGGGGCGGGCGCCCAGGCCUCCAGGGCGGGCGCCCUGGGCCUGGCCCCGUUUCGCCUCCGCUUCGGUCUCGUGGCUUCUGGAGUCUUCUAGAUAAUGUAAAAUCGCGCGGUGCGUUGAUAUCUCUAUGUAAUCCCGACAUGUGGGCCUUUCUUCCUUAUUUCCUGAUAACCCCCUGCAGAAAUAGAUAAACAACAAAACUCGUGGAAUUCUGUCAGAUCAAACCCUAAUUCUAGGUGUUGUUUGCAUAUUGGUCCUUUCUCUUGUUUAUUUGAUAAUUAAAAUUGAUACUUAAGAACCGUCAACAAAUACCCCCAUACUUAGGCUUUUACUCGUCCUCGAGAAAAGGAUGGUUAAGAAAAAUAUUUGGGGUAAACAUUUAAAACAUUCUCUUUAUAUUUGCAGGGUGUUAAAAAUCCACUGUGUACCAUAGUCAGGGAAAUUUAUGAUCAAGAGUAGAGAUCCUUUCUUCUCAAUCCUGUCACUUGGAGUUUUUUUGUAUAUUUUUGAAAGAAAGUUAGCAUACCUUUUUAUCCUCAUAGGUUCUCUCAAAUCACUUAUUAUCUUUUAUAUAUAUCUCACUGAGGCUGUUUUAUUUUGCAAAAAUUCUCAAGCAUUCUUACUUUGCAUUUAUUGCCUGAUCAAAACGGGAUCCGAGGAGGGGAAUGUCAUACUCUUAGAUCAAAGACUUUAAAAAUUAAAAACUUUGUCAACUCUUGCUGGCAUAUUGCUUAUUAGAGGGACCAUGGGCUAUCAUUUUUUUCUCUCUUUUUUUUUAAGUGGAUACCGAGGUACCCCUAAUUCUAUUGCCGGACACUUGUCCAUUUUUUUCUGUGAGGUUAUCGAGCACUUGCUCCUUUUUAUUUCCUCGAAACAUUCCUAUUUUUGCAUAGCCCAUGCCUCUAAUGCAAUAAUACUUCGGAAGAGUGAAUCUUACUGAAAUAAUGUCUUGAUCUUAGGAGCAUGAUAAAUCUCUCAACAAGGGUCUAACUCAUUUUGAACAAACUCAAUACAGAGCAGAUAGCUUUUAUAAUCAUAAUUAAUAUUUUCAGUUUUAUCAGGCAUAUAAAACUGAGGAUGGUAGCUAGAAUUUUGAAUAUUUUGAAAUAAACUCUUCAAGCAACAAUGAUAUCAAGAAUAAGAAACUCAUACUCUACCAUCUUACAUUCCAUACUGUCUUAAGUAACACAGGGUUUUAAAAUGAUUUUAUAAUAAUUGCAAGUUUUUAGGAAAUAUCACAGAUUGAGAUUAAUCAUGAUUAGAAAUAUUUUAAUCUUUUUAUUUUAUCAUGUCGGAAACAAUAAUCUGCAUAAUCCAAAAUAAAUGUAUGUGUAAAAUGUGCAGAGUGUGUACCUGAAUCGUGGAGUGUCGAGGGAUCUCCCCCAUACUUGUUUUCUGCUUUCUUGCACAAAAAUAAAGUAGAGACACACAAGACAUAAUAAUAAUAAUACUCUUUAUUGAUCUUGAGGCAUUUAGUACAAAAGACUGAUAGCAAACUGAUAAUAAUAGUAAACUGAUGAUAAUAGCAAACUUAAACCGAAUUUAAAGAUAGAUGACUAAGAUGUAUUGCCUCAAAGUCUAAUCUAGAUAACUUAGCGGCGCUCUAAUUCUUUGAUCUUCUUGUUGUCACUGGCAAGAUCCUGCCUAAGGCCUAGUAUAAUGGUGUUGUGGUUAGAGAGCUGCCUAGUGAGGGAAUUAAUCGAGGACUGGAGGUCUAUGAUAACUCUAUCUAGCCUGCGAACUUCCUCAUCAAUAUCCAUUAUAGUCUUGCGACGCUUGGGAGGUGUCUCAAAAGCGUUGAGAGCAUGCUUCGGGGCUGCCUUUGGAGGGAUGAAACGGACUUUAGAUGCUCUAAUCCCUUCAAAGUAAGGCCUUUCCUCCUCUGUAGUGUAGCGUACGCUGCUGAUCUCGUCGCUCCGGUUGGUCUUGACUCCAACGACCCUCUCAUUGGGUCUUGGUGGAAGGAUCCUUGUGCCGAUUGGCACCUUGAUAGUGGUCUUCGUCUUGGAUGAUGAUCCUGUGAGGAGUAGGGGUUGUGGCGGUGCGGUGAGAACUGGUUGAGCAUGGUAAGAUUGGGCGGAGCUGCGUUGGCGUAAUGGCAUGGCUUCUAGCUGACGCUCUGUGUUGGCCGGGACGAGAGCACGGGCAUCGGGGUCUUCCACAGGCUCCAUGUUGAGGUUGAAGGGGACGACUUCCCAAUCAUCGUGGUACUUCUCGGCCAUUGGAGCAACAAGGAACUAAUAAAAUUUUAAUUGAAGUAGAGCUAAUCAAGCUCUAAUUGAAGGAGAGCUAAUCAAGCUCUAGUUGAAGGAGAGGAGGCUUGGUGUUUGACAACUGAGGUCAGGGGUCUGUUUAUAUAGGGGUCAAAAGGGUGCCUCUAUGGGUUGUUCGGGUUGCUCCCGUCGAUGUGCGUGCGAAACUUUCCAUCCGAGGGAUUAUUCGGAUCACCCUAAGUGCAUUUUCCAUAACAGAGAAAGUCGGGACCGAGGGGGAACAGGGGCUGGGCGCCCGCCCACUUGACCUGGGCGCCCGCCCUCUCUCUGGCCCCUCUGUGGGCCCACUUUUCCGAGCGCGUUUCUAGAUGCGAAAUUAUUUAGAAAAAUAUAUAUAUGACCCAAAACCAUCAGACCAAAAGUGUCGGGCUCUAAUUCUCCAUGGGAAGGUAAAAAUGGACUACGUCUAUUUCUUCAAUUUCCUCAUUGGGCUCUAAAAAUAAUUUAAGACGUUGACCAUUUACCUUGAAUAACGUACCUUUGCUAUUUUGAAGUGUGAUAGCUCCGUGGGAUGAUGAAUUGAUUACCUUGAAUGGUCCUUCCCAUUUGCUCCGGAGUUUUCCAUGCCCGAAAAGCUUCACCCUGGAAUUGAAAAGUAAUACCUUAUCUCCGGGUGUGAACUCCUUCUUCUUGAUUCUCUUGCCAUGCCACCUUUUGACUCUUUCUUUGUAGAUCUUUGAAUUGUGAUAUGCCUUCUCUCGCCAUUCUUCCAAUUCUGAUAGUUGCAUUCUUCUAUAAUCUCUAGCAACAUCUAGGUCCAUAUUCCAUCUCUUUAUGGCCCAGUGUGCUUUGAACUCUAGUUCAACAGGUAGGUGGCAAGUCUUCCCGUACACCAAUUAGUAUGGAGACAUUCCGAUUGGGGUCUUGUAUGCUGUCCGGUAUGCCCAGAGUGCAUCGGGUAACUUGUCUUUCCACGCCGUUCCCAUUUCAUUUACUGUCUUCUGAAGAAUAUUCUUGAUUUGUUUGUUGGAAGUCUCUGCUUGGCCACUUGUCUGAGGAUGAUAGGGGGUAGCGACGUUGUGACGGAUUCCAUGUCUUGAUAGAUAUUGCUUGAAGCGUUUGUCGAUGAAGUGUGCUCCUCCAUCACUUAUCACUACUCUAGGGACUCCAAAUCUUGGAAAUAUAAUUUCUUCAAACAUCCUCUUUGAACUGACGUUGUCGGCAUGCUUGCAAGGUAAUGCUUCUACCCACUUGGAGACAUAGUCAACUGCCACCAAGAUGUACUCACACUUUUUUGAUGGAGGAAAUGGACCCAUGUAGUCUAUUCCCCAGACAUCAAAGAGCUCAAUCUGAAGGUUGUUGGUGAGUGGCAUUGCAUCCCUUGUAUUUAUGUUUCCGUGUCUUUGACAUGGCCCACAUCUUCUGAUAUAUUGCUUCGUGUCUUCAUACAUUGUAGGCCAAUAGAAUCCACACUGCCAGAUCUUUGAAUGUGUACGGAAUGCUCCAUAGUGACCUCCAUAUGGUGAUGAAUGACAUCUGUCGAUGAUCUUCCAUCCUUCCUUAGUGGUCACACAUCUCCUGAGUAAGCCAUCAGAGCAUACUCGGAAGAGGUAUGGCUGAUCCCAUAUAUGUGAACGACUUUCUUGAAUAAGCUUCUUCUUGUUUGCUCCUGGUGGUACAUACCCUGAAACCAUAAAAUUAACAAUAUCUGCAUACCAGGGGUCAGACCCGUUAAUCCCGUAGAGCAUGUCGUCCCGGAGUGAAUCAUUGAUGGGGGUUUCCUGUGGAUUCUUGAAAUACAUUCUAGACAAGUGAUCAGCAACAGAAUUUUCUACUCCCUUUUUAUCUUUUAUUUCUAAGUCAAAUUCUUGGAGUAAUAAGAUCCAUCUAAUCAGGCGAGGUUUAGCAUCUUUUUUAGUGAGCAAAUAUUUUAAUGCAACAUGAUCAGUGUAAACAAUUAUUUUAGCUCCAACUAAAUAAGAUCUAAAUUUAUCAAUGGCAAAGACAACAGCCAGAAGCUCUUUUUCAGUGGUUGCAUAGUUAAGUUGAGCUCCUGUCAAAGUUUUACUGGCAUAAGCAAUUGCAUGAUGCUUCUUAUUUUUAGUUUGUCCUAAUACUGCCCCCACAGCAUAAUCACUAGCAUCACACAUAAUUUCAAAAGGCAACGACCAAUCAGGGGGUUGAAUGAUUGGUGCAGAGAUGAGUGCUUUCUUUAAUAAAUUGAAAGAUGUUAGACAUGCAUCAUCAAAUUCGAAAGGAGCAUCCUUGGCUAGCAAAAGAGUAAGUGGUCUAGCAAUAAAUGAAAAAUCUUUUAUGAAUCUACGAUAAAAACCAGCAUGGCCAAGAAAGCUUCGAAUUCCUUUUAUAUUCACAGGUGGAGGUAGUUGUUCAAUUACUUCAAUUUUAGCUUUGUCUACCUCAAUCCCUCUUUCAGACACUAAGUGUCCUAGCACUAUUCCUUCUCUAACCAUAAAAUGACAUUUUUCCCAAUUAAGGACUAAGUGCUUUUCUUCACAUCUUUGCAAAACCUUGUCUAAGUUUUCAAGACAACUAUCCAAAGUUUUUCCAUAAACAGAGAAAUCAUCCAUGAAAACUUCCAUAAUCUCUUCAAUCAUAUCAGAAAAUAUAGACAUCAUGCAUCUUUGAAAAGAAGCUGGUGCAUUACAUAACCCAAAAGACAUUCUACGAUAAGCAUAAGUUCCAUAUGGGCAUGUAAAAGUGGUUUUGCUUUGAUCAUCGGGAUGGAUCGGGAUCUGAUGAUACCCUGAAUAUCCAUCUAAGAAACAGAAGAACGAAUGGUUUGCUAACCGCUCUAGCAUCUCAUCUAUAAAAGGUAAAGGAAAAUGAUCCUUUCUUGUGGCUUUGUUUAGUUUUCUAUAGUCUAUGCACAUCCGCCAUCCUAUGACGGUGCGUUGCGGAAUUAGCUCGUUCUUUUCAUUCAUAAUAACUGUCAUGCCUCCCUUUUUGGGCACAACUUGUACUGGGCUCACCCACUCACUGUGCGGCACAGGAUAUAUAAUCCCUGCAUACAGCAACUUUAUAACUUCCUUUUUAACUACCUCUCUCACAGUGUUGUUAAGUCUACGUUGGGGUUCUCGAGAGGGUGUAACAGAAGGAUCUGUUGGAAUACGAUGGGUACAAAUCAUAGGACUGAUUCCUGUAAGAUCUUGAAGUGAGUAGCCGAAAACUGAGUGAUGUUUCUCAAGAAUGGUCAUCAAUCGCAGGGUUUGAUCCUGAGUGAGUUUAUCGCUAAUGAUCACAGGGAACUCUGGAUUAUUGUUUAGGAAAGCAUAGGUAAGACCGGGUGGCAAAGUUUUAAGCUCUAUGGGAGGUCUAGGUGUUUCUGCAAACUCAUCUAAGGGUUCAGGCUCAGAAGGUUCGUCUUCUUCUUCAGUGAAGAAAGGAGUUUCGUCUUCUAAGUCUGGUUCAUCUAAAAGCUCUAGACAUGCAGCCUUUACCUCCUCCAUAGGAUCAGGCAAAAGAUAUGACUCGGCCUUAUUGUUUAAGGAGUGUGAAAUUAUUAUUGGGAAUUUAAAGGUUUUUCCAAAAGAAAUGUGUAGCUUUCCAGUAUGACCUUCAUAAAGGAGUCUUCUAAAAGGUUGUCCUAUCAACAGGUCGAAGUCCCAUGUAUCAAAGAUAUAGAAGUUCAAAUGAACCAUGGAGCCUUCUACUGUAAGAGGUAGGACAUUAAUAAUUCCAAGACUGGGGACUAAUCGUCCCGAAGAUUCCUUUAUGACCUUUGUUGUGGGGGUUAAGAUAAGAUUUUUAAAUAGUUUAAGUGCAAAGGAUUCAGACAUAAUGUUGAUCCCCACAACAGGAUUAUAAAGAGCAUUAAAUCGAUCAGAAUUAUAAGCACAGCGUAUAGUUAUAGAGGGUGUGUCCAAACGGAUCACAUCAGAGGAAAGCUCUGAUUCCUCCAACCAUUCGCUACUCAUUACUGAGAUAAGCUCUCUCAAUUGAUAUUCACUUGGUAAAUAAAUGCUAAAUUGGCCGUUUUGGGGUUUGUCAAUAGAAUGGUAUUUUGUAAUAAUUCCAAAAUCGGCAAAAAGAUCGGAUUCUAUAUCCAGCAUGAAGUCCGGUAGUGGAAUUUCUUCCUCUUGUGGCUCAGAACUUGGGAUAGCUAAAGUAGAUGAAGAAUUUGGUAGAGUGUCUACUUCGGCUUUGUAGGUUUCAUCAUGAAGGGUAUUAUCCAUCUCAGCUUCUAGGAUUCUAUCUAGGAUCACUCUAGCUUCAUCAGCAGGGAUGCAAAAGAAAGAACCUCUAGACAUUGUGUGAAGCAUUUGUUUUUGAUUUUUCUGAAGACCUCGAAAAAAGUGGAAUAAAAGAAUAGGGUCUUCAAGAUUAAGGUUUGGACCAGAUUCUAAAAGAUUAGAAAAACGUUUCUAGGAUUUUCCCAAAGUUUCAUUAUCUUUUUGUUUAAAAGAUAGGACUUCGAGUCUAAGGUCGGCUAUACGGUCAAGGGAAUAGAAAUCUAGACAAAAGUUGGCUCGUAAAACUCCCCAUUCACCUUGUUGUUGACUUACCUUUUGACUGUACCAUUGUCUAGCUUCUCCCCUUAAAGAAAAAGGAAAAGUCUUCCAACGUAAAGUUUUAUCAGAAAUGCCUUCAAUGCGAAGACAAUCACAUGUUUGCUCAAAAUCUCUAAUAUGAAGGUAAGGGUUUUCGUCUUCCUUUCCCGAAAAAGAUAUACUUUGAAUCAUGGCAAUCAACCUAGAACUUAACUUAUACUGGGAUGUUUGGAUAGGCUGUGAUGAUUCCCAUGGUAAAAGGUCAGUGGCUAAAGGGAUUGCAGACUCAUGGAUCGAUUUAGAAUUUUGGUUUUCCAUAAGGUAAGAAUAAAGAAAAUAAAUAAAGGAUAUAAAAGAUAAGAAAAGAUAAAAGUAUAGAUACAAGCUAAUAGCAAGACACAGGUUAUCUCAGGAACCGUCUUUCUCCCCGGCAACGGCGCCAGAAAUGCUUGUUGAUAUUUGGGAACGCAAUAAGGAAUUGAUCCGCAAGCGCACGGAUAUCGGUGAGCACUUCACCCGGGAAAUUAUCCAGAGUAUCGUAUUUAUUUUUUUACCACUAGGAGAAAGAGUGCAUCUGACUAACCAGUCUAUUACUACUAACCUUUAGGCACAAAGAAUGUCUUUCGAUGUGAGUGAUAAAUAGAGAAGACUGCAACCGUAGUCUACUUCUAACCUAGGUAAGCAUGAUCUACUGUUCUAAUGGGGAGGCUAACGGAAUCUAGACAACACAAAGGAUGUUCGACCCGCACCUAUAAACCCUAUCCUUCCUGCUAACGAGAUGUGAUCUACAAAGGUAGCUCGGAAUUGUCACGUUCCUCACUACUACCACGGUCCAGCUAGUCAGGGAAUAUCUAUGGGUACCCCAGCCUAAACACCACGUUUACGCCAGCAAUGAUUACUCUAAACUCUACGCGAAGAGAUUAAAGUAAACUCAUAAACCAUAAGAACAAUAAAACAAGAACUUACUAGAAUUUAGAAGUCGAAUUACUGAAGAAUCCUAGGAGCAAGCUUCGGGUUAGGAGAACUUGAUCCCGCAGGUACAAGCUUGGAGUAGACACCGACAGGCCGGGCUUCCUCCACUCUACACCUCCACUCUAUCUCUCUCAAUCUAGUAGAAACUAGAAGAUCUAUUUCUACCUUACAUUGGUUGCUAAGCCUAAAAAGAAAUAUUAAUCAGAGAAGAGGUUUUCCUUCGAGGGCACCCCUCAGUCUCUAUGAUAAUUUCUUCAUGUCCUCUCCUGGGGCCAGGGGCCUUGCUUAUAUAGUCCUCCCCUUCUAUGCGUUUUUGGGUCGAUAGGCGAGGUGGUACUAUGUUUUUCUUGAUCCAAUAGGUCGGUGGAAUAUCCCGAGCGAAGAGAGUCCUGAUCUGGCUCCAGAGGGGGGCGGGCGCCCAGGCCUCCAGGGCGGGCGCCCCGGGCCUGGCCCCAUUUCGCCUCCGCUUCGGUCUCGUGGCUUCUGGAGUCUUCUAGAUGAUGUAAAAUCACGCGGUGCGUUGAUAUCUCUAUGUAAUCCCGACAUGUGGGCCUUUCUUCCUUAUUUCCUGAUAACCCCCUGCAGAAAUAGAUAAACAACAAAACUCGUGGAAUUCUGUCAGAUCAAACCCUAAUUCUAGGUGUUGUUUGCAUAUUGGUCCUUUCUCUUGUUUAUUUGAUAAUUAAAAUUGAUACUUAAGAACCGUCAACAAUGAGCUGUAUUAUCGAACAAUUGAUGGGGUUCUUCUCAAGUGCUUAGGUGAUGAUGAGGCUAAAAGUUUGAUGGGAGAAAUCCAUGAAGGAGUGUGUGGAGCGCAUCAGUCGGCAUUUAAGAUGAAGUGGACGAUCAGGAGAAAUAGGUAUUAUUGGCCGACUAUACUUGAGGAUUGUUUUAAGUAUUUCAAAGGGUGUCAAGGAUGUCAGAAAUUUGGUAAUGUUCAAAGAGCACCCGCAUCGGCCAUGAAUCCUAUUAUUAAACCCUGGCCGUUCCGGGGAUGGGCUAUUGACUUAAUUGGCCAGAUUUAUCCACCAUCAAGCAAAGGACAUAAGUUUAUCUUGGUUGCCACCGAUUAUUUCACCAAGUGGGUUGAAGCUAUUCCUUUAAAAAAGGUCACAUCGGCCAACAUGAUUGAUUUUGUGAAAGAGCAUAUUAUUUACCGUUUUGGUAUUCAUCAAACAAUUACUACCGAUGAGGGUACUAGUUUACGUCGGGGGAGUUUGAUGAGUUUGCAAUCGGUAUGGGAAUUAAGGUGUUAAAUUCUUCUCCUUAUUAUGCUCAAGCUAAUGGACAGGCCGAAGCAUCUAACAAAGGAAUUAUCAAACUUAUUAAACAGAAAGUUGAAGAAAAUCCUAGGAGGUGGCAUACGUUGUUGAAUGAAGCUUUAUGGUCAUAUCGGAUGGCUUGUCAUGGGUGGACCAAAGUUUCACCUUAUCAGUUGGUGUAUGGGCAUGAUGCAGUGCUACCUUGGGAAAUUAAAACCGGGUCUAGGCGACUAUCUUUUCAAGAUCAAUUGGCUGCCGAUGAUUAUACUACUUUGAUGAUAGAUGAGUUAGAUGAUCUAGCAGGGCAUCGGCUAAGAGCUUUGAUAAGUAUAGAAGAAAAUAAGAAGAGAGUUGCCAAAUGGUAUGAUAAGAAGGUAAAGGCCAAAGAGUUUGCCGAUGGAGACUUAGUAUGGAAGCUAAUUUACCGAUCGGGACUAAAAGUUCAAAGUUUGGGAAGUGGUCUCCCAAUUGGGAAGGUCCCUAUCGGAUAAAUUGAUCUACUCCUGGCAACGCCUAUAUCUUAGAAACUCUCGAAGGAGUUGAAUUUCCCAGAGCAUUGAACGGCAAAUAUCUAAAGAAAUAUUACCCAAGCAUAUGGGUCGAUGCAUAAAAGUUUAAGCGUCGAUAACAUUCCUAUCGGCUGGAUCAAACUGUAUUUGGGGCCGGAUUUAGUGUUUUGAAAGGGUGCCGAUAACAGUCCUAUCGGCUGGACCAAAAUGAUUAGAAGAAAGAAGCAAAGCACGCCGCCGAUGAAGAAUUUACAUGUUUAAUAGAGCCUAGAUCGUCGAUAUGGCGCGCAGACGGAUCUGAUUGGCUUCUUCUAUCUCCCUCAUGUCAUCAUCGGCAGAGCCUUCCACUGGCUUCAGUUUCUUCUUCAUUUGCAAUGCUUUACGGGCCUGGAUGUUUCGCUCUUGUUCAAGAAUCUUGAUUGCUUCAGGCAGCUGGCUUUCUUCCUGUUGAGCUUGGGACAGAGCUUCUUCCACUUGUCUGAGUUCAGCCAACAGAGCUUCUCUUCUCGUCGAUAGAUCAGAAAUCUUUUGCUUCAGUACAUCUCCUGAGGAUUUCAGAAUGCCGAUACUCUUGUGCUUCUCAUCCGCAAGGAGCUUCACUUCCAUCAUUUCCUUUGAGAUUUAAGCAUGAGCAGCUCUAUCGGCAAGGCGCUGAGCAGCUUUUUGAUACUGCAGCUGACGGCUCUCUAGGUGUGCAGCUUGAAAAAUAAUCUCCUCAGCGUCGGUAGGGAUUUGACCUCUGAGAGCCUUGAAUAGAGCUUUGGCUAGAUCAGAAUCAUCGACCAAUUGCACUGUGUCUUGGUGGAGAAGGGCUGAUAGAUCCGCCAGCUUCGCUCUAAUCUCUGCCGAUGAGAUUCCAAAUGCUCGAGAAGAACUUGCUUCCUCACCUUCAUCUUCAGAGAUCUCGAUGGCAAAGGAGAACAAGCUGUCGGGAGAAUCUUGUUCCUGAAAAUGAAGACAGAAUAAGUUAUUUUAUGAUCAAGUACUGAUAAUAAUAAAAUAAGGAUCGGGUAACUUACUUGCUUCAGAGCUAUUUCUCGCCUCUCACUAGUAGAAGCCGAUGGAACCACAGGUUGAUCGGCUGGGAUUGCCGAUGAGACUAUGUCCACUGAAAGAUUAACAGAGGUAAUUACAGAUUGAAGAAAGUGGGUUCAUCGGCAACAGAUAGAGAGUAUGUUACCUUGAGGAGGUACAGAACUAGUCUGAAUUGAGGAGACCACCGACGCUACGAUUAAGCUUGUUGGAUCGGCAGUCUGCUCGUGUACAUCAGCCGAUGUUUCUUCUAGCUGAGGCUCUUCUGGCUGAGGUUCUUCUAGCUGAAGUUCUUCUGUUUGGGUUUCUUCUUGUGGUUGAAGAGGAGACGGUGCUGGUUGUAUCUGGGCUUCUAGAGAAGAAGGAGAUGAUUCUACUGGGAUUGGAGAUACUGGGGGAGGAGAAGGCGUUGCUGUUCUCUGGCGCUUUGCUUGUAGUUUGGUACCCUUGGAACCUUUUCUCUUCGGUUGACUGGACUGGGGGGCAUCGGCAGUCGCACUUCUGGUCUUUGCCGAUGUACCGGUGUGCUGAUACAACAAGCGAGAAGUUUAUGAGUACAGGUGUAAUAAGUAUAAGAAUGAAAUCGGUAUAAUUUGAAACACUUGAGGAUUUACCUUGAAGGCUUGUGCUAGGGUAGUGGCAGCUACCGAUGGAGAUGUUCUCGUUCGUUUGGUAGUGACUUUCUUAAGGCGUACGCCCCGAUGCAUUAUAGCAGCCAGAGUUGGAGCAUUGUUACCAAUCAAAGAAAUUGGGCCCGAUGGAAGGAGCUCAAUCGGCUUACCACUCCUGCUGACCAAUGGUGCUAUGCCAUCGACCUGUAUGUAAUAAGGAAAGUAAGUUACCGAUGAAAAAAUAAAAGUGAAGGGAUCGAAGCAUCGGUAUUAAAAUACUUACAGUGUUAUCGGGAACUUUGGGGAUCGAUCAUGCCACGGUAUGCGAGAGCCGAACUGCAGAACAGAUGUUCUUUCCAUUCUUCCCACCACUGUUUGUAUGCCUGAGUGAUGAAGAGAGCCAGAAUCCAAGCUGAUAGGUCGACAUCUGUAUCGGCAUUUGGUGGAAGUUGGGCUACCCUAAUCCAUUCCAGAUUGUUGGUAAUGAUCUCCCUCGGCUUUAUCACAUUGGCGUAGCAGAGUGCAAUCGGCAGUUGGCCAAAAGCCAGUUGGCGAGCUAGUGCCGAUGGGUUAUAAAACUCAUAGGUCACAUGGGGGGCUUUCCCACUACCAAAGAAAUUCACUGGUAUGGCUCUUGGGGUGAUAAUUGCCAUCAUCACGUCAUGAUCCUUGUUGAGAGCAUCAUUGAAGGGGUGGAAGAUCAAAGGAAAUCUGGUGUCUGGAUCUUCGUAAGGCAUCCAUGCUCGCUGUUCUCUGGUCAGGCCCUCGUACAGAGUUUGAAAGAAUCGGCUGACCUGGUCUGCGUUGCCACCUGUGCCAGGCAAAACUAUGGCAGCUUCGCCAAAGUUCCGAGGGGAACGAGUUGCCGAUUCUUCUUCAUCCAGCUCAUAAUCUUCGGCUAUGUCCCUGGGGAAGCGCUGCGCAAAGAGGUCGAACUCAAGGCGUUUGUGCAUGUGAAGACUAAGCCACAUAUUGAUGAACUACGAGGGACCUCCUAAGUUGCCGAUGGGUUGACCAAGCAGUAGUUUCCUGGCUAUCUGGUGGAGGAGGUGAUAAGCAGAGCCGAGCAGGUAUCGGCCGAGGGGAAAUCGGCCAGCAUUAGCUAACCUCUCUGCUGCCGAUAGGUAAACAGAGGUUGGUCCUGCCGAUCGACCGCAGAAUACAAACUUGUCCAACCACAUGUUCAAGAAGGUAGUCUAUUCCUUUAUAUUGACAGGCCCCGUUCUACGAUACUUUUGAAUGUACCCAGACCAACCGCCGAUAGCGCGAGUUUCCACCUUAGCGCUAGCUUUGGUGUCGAACAGGUGGCUGUUAUCGGCAGUGGAUAUGUCUAAGCCUGUGAGCAUAAACACAUCGGCAAGUGUAGGAGAAGCAGGGCCAUGGCCAAACACAAAAGCAUUAAGUGUGUCUGACCAGAAAUAUGAUGCAGCGAUCAACAGCGACUCAUUUCUAUCCAUAUCGGCAAGGGACGGUCUAAUGCACUGGUCCAGUUUUCGCUCGCCCCAUUGAACCUCAUUUGCAUGGCUGACUCUCAAGAACCAAUCCUUCCAUCCCUUGGUAGGACUGGGCCAGGAACGGAAGACAUCUUUCCAUAGAUCUAGAGAAAAAAUUUUGGCUCUAAAAGGAAUUCUGUUUGUCUCUGCGUUUAUCAGAUCGGUGGGAUCUAGGUUCCCUAGCGGGCCGAGACAUUGGAGGUGUGGUUGAUCGGUAGGGAUGACAAUCUUAUUGGACAAAUCCUAAAAGUUUUAAGGAUAAAAAGAAGAACAAAAGAAAAAAAGAGGGAUGUUCAGUAAGAUGAAUUGCAGAUGAACAGGGGUAUGGUAAAAAUACAGGAGACAGGGUGGUAAACUGACCUUAGGAACAACAAAGUUGAUGGCCAUCUCCUCGCAGGGAAGAAGAUCGAAGAUUUUGGGGUUGGUAGAGAAAGGCCUUCGUUGGAGAUCUUGGAAACCUCAGGUGGUGCCGCCGCCGUGAAAGUGGGUUUUUGGCUGUAGAAUGACAAGAUGGAGGAGUACCCGAGAAGGAAGUAUUUAUAGGACAAAACGGGUAGGCGCAAAUCUGACUUAUCUCUUCGCCGCAUCCGUGAAAUCCGAGGGUGUUCAGGUGAAUAUGGUAACUGUUCGCACGAUAAUCAAGGGAUUGCACAGGUGAUUUGACAGCAAGCGGUCGUGAUUUUGGAGAUAUUUCACUGUGCAAGAUCUCCUGGUCGGCCCAUCGGCAGUUCCCUCUAACGGUAAUAUUGCCGAUGGGUUGUUCGACUUCAACGGUCGAUUGCCAAAUUGGGAGAGUUAAUUGCGGAAAGGCAUCAUUAUUGCAGAGAAUUUCGGAGCAUUAAUGAUUUUAUACUCCAAAAUUGGGGGGCAUGUGUUGACGCCGUUUUUUGACGCGUACCCAGGAAUCGGUAAAGAAUAGAUCGGCAGAAGGAACAACGGUAACUGGUCUACAGGGAAGUUGCCGAUGAGGGUGAUUGUCGAUGAAGAGACGGCUGAAUGUGACUAAGUCCAGAAGUGGUGACGCGUUCGUGCUGAUGGUCAGCGUUAGUCUUUGCCGAUGAUUAUGAUAAGAAGUCUGCCGAUAACUCGGAAGAAGAACGUGAAGGCUGCCGAUUGACCUGUGGUGGUGUCUCGGUAUGUUACGGGAGGAUAGUUUUAUGUUUUCCAUAGAUAUUUUAAUUCGUUUUGUAUACGAAUUCCGAUUAAUUUGGAGUUCGAGUCCUAGUCGUGUCUGAUUGUAGCUCUUUGAGCAGGGUAUAAAUGUAGACCCUAGGGCCUUGUAAUUAGACAUCUAUCAAUCAAUCAAACACAAGUUUUUACUCAUAUUCCAGCAUCUACUUUUUCGACGACUUCGUCAUAUCUUCCUUUUUACUACGAGUUCUUAAGAAUUCAUCGACUUAAGCACGGCAUGUUCUCAAGUUCCGCGUGAUCACCUCUUGGCCGUGACAUCCGGGCGCAUCGCUAUUGUCGGGACCAAAGUGGUCGAGUUAUCACCUUUGCCGAUAGUAAGGUCAAAUCGGCUGGCACGCCUUAACGUUUGAAUCGGGUAUUAGCCCUUUGUGUUUGCAGAUCAACUUUUGCACCAACACAUGUUUAUGUUUGAUUUGGAUCUUUGUAAUGAGUGUAAUGAUUUUGUGAGUUUCUUCACAAUUUCAUUUAAUUUAUAGAACUAAGGCAUAAGGACUAAUGAAAUAAGUAGUUGGGUUUGGCUAUCUCUUGCUUCUAUCCCUUGCUGAUUUCUGGAGCAGUUUGUAAUAAUGCUGGUGUAUCUCAACUUUUGUUCGUGCAAAGUUUAUCAAGUUUUUAUGGGAACAACUAGACUCCAAGAUCUUUCUUUGACCUCAAGAAUGACCCCCAUAUCUAUUUUGGAAUUGGAGUUAUGAAAAUCACAAUUUGAUGCAGCUGCGCUGUCAAGAAUCUGUACCAGUUUCGGUUUCUUACUGUUUUAUACAUAUAUAACUAUAGAAUUUGGAAAAGUAUUCUAUAGAAAAGUUGUGGACAAUUUUCUAUUCUUUCCAACGGUAUAAGCUGAAACUUAUUUGGAUAAGUAUAAACUGAGAUAUGAUAUUUACAAUUGGAUGUUUCUGUUUUGUAUCAAAGUCUGGACAGUUUUGAUAUUCCCUAUUUUCGGCCAAGUUGAAGACAGAAUCUGGGAAAACGUGGUAUACAAAAGGUGUAGAGAAUUUCCUAAGAUUUUCAAAAAUGUAAGGAUCAUCUCCAGAUGAGUUAAGUAGCUCUAGAUAUAAUUUUUUGAAGUUACAGAACCUUUGCUGAGACAUUAUCAGGAAGGAUAUUAUAUUUGGCUAUUUUACUUAAGCUUAAAGACAGAACCUAAGGAGGUCUUCUACAUGAAAGUGGUAGAGAAUUUCAUAAGUUUUCUAACGGUUUAAGCUAUAACUCUGUUGGAUUAACAGAAUAAGAGUUAUAUGUGUUUUAUUACGCUGGUGUUUUCAUAUCAUGAGAAAAAUUUAGGAUACCUGUUUGUUCUCCCCUUACACCUAAGUUCUUUGGGACGUCAGAGGUUCUCAAUGUUAGUUGACCUGCCUGGAAAACAUGCAAGCUACCUUUCUUGUGUCCCCUAGUUGACCUUCUUAAGGGGGGUAGCCCAAAUAAAGGGGUUACAUGGAGAAGAAUUGGAUAAUGUUGGAUCAAGAGACUCGAUACCAUGAAUGUAAAAGACUAUGAUGUGUGGCGUCCAAAAAGGAUAGGAGAACUAGUCCCUAGUGUCCCCCAAUCAAUCUAAUUUUAAGGGGGUAGUACCUGGAUAUCACGGGUGAUGCAUUUUAAAACUAGCUUGGAGUGAUAAUUGUCUUAUGGGAUAUUCUAUGGUUAUGAUCAUCAAUUCUUGCCGUGUUACUGACGUUGGUCACUUGAUGACAGGGAGUGUAGUGUCCCAUGAAUCCGGAGCACAAUAUGACACCUCUCAUGGAUAGGUGGGAAGAAUAUGAUCAUCUUGCCUUUGAAGAAAGAUGCUAUGAGUAUGACAAAGCUGAGUGUUAUCAAAAUAAUAAUAUGGAAGAGCAAGUUGACAAUGAAUCAAAUCAAAAUCCACAACGACGAAAGCGUAAAAGGAAAGCUCGUAAGAAGCCUGCUCUCGGAAAUAAAGUACAACGAAAUUAUAUUAAUGGAAGACUGAACAAUGUGGAUAUGCAUAACAUUCAAGGAGCCACCAAAGUGGUGGGAGGCUAUAUUCAAGUGGACUCAGUGCUAGUUUUUGCUUUGUUUGACCGAAGUGCUUCGCAUUCUUUUAUUUCCGCCGACUUGGUAAAGACAAUCGAGCGAGUGAAGUGUCCAACGAGGAAGCCAUUGCUAGUUCAAACCCCAAUGGGAGAGAUACAGGCAGAUCAGGUUUGCUCGAAUAUCAAUCUUGUCAUAAAGAAGGAAAACUUUACAGUAAACCUCAUUGUGCUUGAGUCACUCAAAAUUCCUUUGGUUCUUGGCAAUGGAUGGUUAUGUGCAUACAAGGCAGUGAUCUAUGCUACCCAGUGGAAAAAUUUCUUAACCGCACCAUCAGGGAAAAGAAUUGAGUAUCAAGGUGGUCCACUCUUACCUGAGGAGGCAUAUCCAUGCUAAGCUACCAUGUCUUUGAAUUGUAUAAGUCAAAAAGUUGGUAGUCAAGAUGGAUUUUAAUUAGCUAUGAAUAAUAGACAUUUCAUGGAUGUUUUGUUUACAAGUUGUGAUCCCGAGACAUAAAUGUUUACAUUGGAAUACAAGUUGUGAAGUUGAAAUAGAUAUCAAGAUCUUGUUCUUGUCUCCCUUUUGGAAUCCGUGUCUCUUCCGAAUCUCGAGGACGAGAUUCAUUUUAAGGGGGGUAGAUUUGUAACACCCAAAAGUUUGCUUUUGAAUUAAUAGGGUUUAAUUGGAUUUAUUUCAAUAUUUGUGUGAGCAUUUAAAGUAGCAAAUAAAUAUUUUUUUUGGAAAUUAAAAUUUAUCAUAAGCUUAGUAACAAUGUUUUGUGCAUUCAUGCUGAGACAUAUUUUAUUUUAUGAUGAUUGUUUUUGGUUUGUAUUUAAUUGUUCUCAAAAUCCUUUUUGAAAAAGGCUUUAAAAAAAAGAUAAGAAAGCCUCCCUGGAUCUGGCCGAGGCCCAACUCUUCCUCUCCCUCUUUCUUUCCUCUGUUGGGGCUCGCGGCCCAUCUAACCUCCCACUUCUAUCCCCGUUGGCCCAGCACGCGCAGCAAGCCCGCCUUCCUCUCUCGGCCCAAUGGCCAGCCCAGUCGCGCGCGGCUCUCCCCCACGUCACUGAUCGCCCGGACCUGCUCUCUCUCUCCCGCCGACGUGUUAGGCCCGCCGGUCAGCGACUCCCUCCCCUCCUUUCUCCUUCCUCGCGCGUGUCCGAGAAGGACUCCUCCCCCAACCGACCCCAAUCCCGAUUUAGGCGGGAUAUGCUUUCCCUGACCCCUAUAAAGUCCUAAGCAUCGUACCCCGCGCGCUUGCUUUCUGUUUCCACCGCAAAAUCGAGCCCUAGCCGCCACGAACGCUGAAGUUUGGAUCUCGCCGAGCUUGGAGUCGAACUGCCACCGCCGCGAGUCCUUUCCCUUGCUCCUCGGCCCGAGAAGAGUUGCUAGGUGAAACCACGGUGAGCUCCUCGUUCUACCGGAGUUUUCCUUUCGCAGUUUGGUGCACAGAAACGUGAAAACCGUGACUCCGGUGAGCCCCAUCAAUGGCGCCGCCGCCGGAGGCUUGAAUUCCGGCAAGCCCGCCGCCGGAGACUCCCUGGAGAUGCUCUGGGGCGUUCAAUCGACGAUCAACGGCUGUAAUAAGAAGAUACCCCUUCGCCGGGAUUUUUGCUAAAGAGACCCCCUGGAUCUGAGAAACCAACCCGCGGCCCCUUGCGUAUUCCCCGUUUACGUUUUCAAAUUCUUAAGACGCAUUCUGUUUCGGCUUAGAAGAAAAUACGUUUUCUGUUAUUUACAGUUUUGCCAUUGAAACUGAUUUGGUCAUAAAAUGCUCAUUUUUAAUCCGAUUUGGUCCAUUCAAAUUUCGUUAGAUUCAUAAUCAUGAGCUCUACAUGUUAGUAAAAUUGUUUACUCGGUUUGAAACUUUUUAAUUUUAUGGUACUAUUUAAUUAAUUAUUUAUCUAUAGGAAAUCUUAGAAAAUUCAUAUCUUUUUCGUUUUAACUCCGAUUUUUGUGAUCUUUACGUUUGUGUGAUCGUAGCGCUGCGAAUAAUAUUUUGGUAAACUUUUAUAUUUGUUUUAACACUGUUUGGUGUAUUGUUGUAAUUAUAGUUUGUUUGCUUCAUGUAUGAUUGUCUACUUUGGAUUGCGUGUUGUUGAUUGAUGAUCGGGUAUAGACGGUGAGCGAUACGUUGGUGAUCAAGAUCAAGCUUUUGACGACCAGCAGCAGGCUCAGAAGAGCUUUGAUCAAGGCAAGUAUAACUUGGGGCUAUCCUUGUUACCUAUACACAAUUAAUACAAUAUAUAUAUAUCAUAUGCAUGUGUCCACCUUGAUGACCUUAGCAAAAUCUAGAUGAUUGUUAUCCUGUAAUCCUUGUUACCUAUUUUGGAUAUGCAUUUGGGUAGUUCUUGCUAGUGCUUGAAUAUAAUCCAUGAUCUUGUAACAUGAAUAUUUGGAUAUACAAUAAACAAUAAAAUAAGCUUUCUAGCAACUUGACUAUAAAGGGUGGAAAGAACUCUAGCUUUUGCUGGAUUGAUCUUGACCCUCCAUAAGGACUUAUCCCUUGGCAAAAGCUGAGACAACUCGUACAACCAUGAGGGCUAUAUGGCUCUGGCUUUAGUCAAGUAUGAGUAACUUUUCUAGCUCGUUAGCGGUUACCCGUUGUGGCGCAAUUGGGAAUAGCAGACCGUGGAUUCCUGCUGGUGAAUCACAUGGACUGACUAAUGAAACAAAGCGGCCCUAACUUGUUAGACGAACCUUUGAAAGACUUCAUAGUGAACCCUGCCGACCUUCCUUGGUAGUGGGUUAAGAGGUCGACGGGCCUCGGGCGAAAGGGUAAAUCAUGACUCAUGGGUAAAGAUGUACAACCUCUGUAGAGUGUUAAAUCUGGUAUACUAGCCGUGCCCACGGAUACGGGCGGCUCGGAAAAAUGACGGAAUAGCUGGACACUGAUGAACAUGAUUAAUGAUGAUAAAUGAUGGUUUAUUAUGUUGUUUAUAUGUGUUAUUCUUAAUUCUUGUAUAGAUUGAUCAUGUGGUUAUGGGAUUUAAUAUGCUACCUUGAUAUUGCUAUCCAAUGAUUAAAUAUGCUAUUCACAUAUAAAAGCUAAAUGCAGUCAAACCAGUGUCAACUUAUUGAGCCUCAUGAACCCCUGGUUAUACUUGUUGAGUACGAUAUGUGCUCACUCUUGCAAUUUCCCCACACCUCAGGAGAAGUUUUGGGCUUGUGAUCAACCAGUCAGUUGGAUCCUGUGGAGAGGAGUUAAUACCCGAAGUUUAGAGUUGUCUAUCCGCUGUUUGCUAUUAAAUGUUAUCUCUUUUGUACUAAGUACGUUAUAUAUUUAUGUGUUGUCUUUUGAUAUUACCCCUUACUUGUAGCUAUAUGUGAGAUUUGGCCUUUAAUACUCGCAUAUGGUGCAUAUCUGGUUUUGUCCUUAAAAUCGGGUAUUACAGAUAUCAACACCUUCGUGAGCUUGAAAGGCUAUCUCUAGGCCAUUGAUAAUAAUUUGAUGGACUAGUGGACUUGGACUUGUAUAAUUUGGCUUGUGAUUUGGACAUUUGGACAUGAUUUGUGGAUGCAAAUUUGAUACAUAUAUAUGCUUCUGUGGAUGCAUAUUGGAUACAUAUAUGUGGACUUGUCGAUGUAUAUAUAUAUAUAUGUGUUUGCUGUUGUGGUCAGAUUUAAUAUACAUAUAAUUAUUUUUUUUCUGGAAACUCACUGUAGGGGCGGCUGGUACUAGAACCACCCCUACAAAGCAUUUGUAAGGGAAGCCAGUGUUAAAUCGACCCCUACAAAUAGCAUUCGCAAGGGCAGCUGGUGUUUCGAGCCGCCUUUACAAAUACAUUUGUAGGGCCAUUUGUAAGGGUGGUCAAAUCCAUGAUUUAUAAGAGCGCUUGGACAAGGGCGGGUGGCCCAAUCGUCCUUACAAAGGGUUUUGAGCUGCCCUUAAAAAUCCUGGUUGUAGUAGUGAAAGAUAUAUAAGCACCACCUACAUGAAGACAUUAGCAGGUUUAUUCAGCACAGAAAUGUGAAAAGCAAAUUUUCUAUAUCUUGCUCCCGACGAGGCUCUACUAGCAAUGUGUCCAAACAUGUUGCUCAUCAUUGGGGGCAUGAGAAGCAUUCAUGUCCAAACAUGUUGCUCAGUGAUAGCUGACCUAAACAUGUAAGGCAUUUGUGAAAAAAAUAUAGCAGAUCGAUCGAGGGAAGAGGUAGUUUUAAUGUUUCCUUACAUUUUCUUUUUGCGAGUAUGUUUUCUGACAUUUUCCUUUUUUAAGUAUUACUGUAACAUUAGCAGAUUAGCUAGUAUGGCUGUGCAAGAAUUGUGUUCAGAAUGUUAUCUGACCCAUAUCAGACUACCUCAGCCCGACUUUUGUUCGCUCUUAUCAAACUAGCUACUGCAUGUGGACGCUGAGGGUUCAAGCUAUCAAGGAUUGUUUGGCUACUUAUACAGCUGGCAAUGUACUGAUUAAGUAACUAACCUUGUGAGCUCUCUUUCUUAUCGAGAUUUCCAGGUACACAGAGUAGUAGUUCUUAAGUCCAUGACUGAAUUUGUCAAAGUCGUUGUGAAAACCCCGAGGACACCUCUGCAAUGUCAACCACUGUACGAGGAAUAGAAUCGUUCGGGUGAUCAGAGGAUGCCUGUGUGGACCUUCAAACGUGCUGUCCGUCAAGACUUCAUGCAUGCAGGGUCAUCGUUUACUAGUUUUAAUGUUAGUAUAAUGCUACAGCCUGAUCACAAAAGAAAUAUAAAACUCUGGGUUACAUUAUUAUAAGGUUGAUCCUGUUCUCUUUUGAUUUUCGUGUCACAGGCUAGCUGUGCAUGUUUCAUGCUGGAGAGAAUGGCCAAACGCAGAGUCAUGAGCAUGCAUGAGAGUAUAUUGUUGUAUGCAUGCAUUAGAGCUUGGAAGUUGCUAGUACUAUUCUUUUCUGUAUGGGAUCUUUAUCCAGCAACACAAUAUAUACCGAGACAAAGCAUACAAGUAAUUUUAUUGGAACUAGAUCCAGCUUUCAGCUAUAUAUGAGGCAAAGCAGUACUGUCACUAAAAUAUUUCACACGUUUAGUAUAAAUGCUGGUCCAAAAAUUGGCAAUGACUCGAUGCAUAACUUCAUUGUAUAUUGAGAUGAAGAAUACAAACAAGUGAACUACUUAAACCAGAGCAACAAGCUGGUUUAGUUUCAAUGGGCCUUCGAAACACCGAUGAAUGCUAAAACUUUGUGCCAUCCAUUAUCUUAUCUAUGGGGAUGAGACUUAGCUGACCAUCUAGACAGAACGUGACAAGUGCCAUCCAUCACCUUGCUAGUUGCAUGUAAUUUAUGGUCAAGUCAAGAAGCUCCAUUAAUUCCAUUGGAUUUUAAAAGCCUCCACUUGGUCUCCUAUUGAAACACCACUACCAUACGUGCAUGCUCUAUAUGGAGGUAAAGAACCACUGCAUGCAUGGCCUCAAGCACUAUAAAUACCCAUGCAGCAUUCACUGGGAAGUCAUCCCAACUCAAGCAGUCCAUAGUGUUAGCUCACAAUGGCAGGCACAAAGCUCGUAUCACUAGGGCUCAUUGUCCUCAUGAGCAUAGGAUUAGCCAAUGCUGUUAGGGUGGCUAGAUACUCUAGUGCUGAUGGGACUGGCACAGGGCAGGGAGGGGGUGGUGGAUAUGUGAAUGGUGGGGGAUCAGGGUCUGGGUCUGGCACCGGAUCAGGUGAUAGUGGCCCUUAUGGUUCCCAUGCAAGUGCUGGAGGGGGCGGUGGAGGUGGUGGAACUAGCCAAUACGGUGGGUCUGGAUAUGGUUCAGGGUCAGGGUUAGGUUCAGGGUCUAGUACAUAUAGUCAAGGACGGUAUUCUGGCUAUGGAGAGUCUUCUAAUGCUGGUGGUGCCGGUGGGGGUGGGGGUGGAGGACAAGCCGGAGGUGCCUGGAAUUCCAAUGCUCAAGGAUCCGGUAGUGGCACCGGUUCUGGCUCUAGCUAUGCUAACAGGAAUUGGUAUGGAUCAAGUCAAGCAGGUGCACGUGCUAAUGGCAAUGGUGGUGGCACAGGAAAUAGUCAAAAUGGUGGCGGUGGCGGCGGUUCUGGUGCCGGAACUGGAUAUGGCAAUGCCUACCCAUAAACUCCUUAUAAUAAGUCAAUCCGAAGUUGGACCAUCGUAGUAUUUCCUUGUUUGAAGUCGUAGAGUUAUUUGUUUUCUUUGUCCCUUUGUUACACUUUCGUUAGCAGUGAAUUAAUAAAGGGUCCAACUGCUCUAGCAACAGUAGCAGUCUUGUAAGGUCCUUAUAUGAAGAUGUUGUAACCAUGUCUGUUUGUGAAAGGAAAAGAUAACUUAUGCAUCAUGUGGCCACUGUAUCUAAAAAAUUUCUUAUGUUCCCUUUGGAGUGAUUAAGUUGAGAUGCCUACACCAUGCAUAUUAACAUGGUUAUUGAAUUAUAUACCAUUGAAUUUCCUAGAGUUGUUUAUAUCACUUAAUUAUGACGAUAACUCCAACUAGGUCAAUCCAUUCUAGAACAUAAUUAGCAAGAACUGCUGGCACAAGCCCAUUUAUGUCAAUCAGCCUAGAACAUAAUUAGCAAGAACCACAUGAUUAUAUAAAUACCCUAAGUACAUAUUUAGGUGAAGGCUUUACGUUAAUCAUUUGUGUAGCCUAGUUUGGUGGUCAAUGUUUUCUACAUUCGUGCAUUGUGCUUCUUCGCUCUCGUGAAUGGCUAAUCAACAAGAUGGAUACUUGAUGUCCAGUUCUUUUCAAUUAUUCGUCUUCCAUCACUGAUCAGUCCAUAUCAUCGUACUUUUAAAUGACACAUUACAGUUCACAUUAAUAUUGAUUUCUAAUGCAUAAUUUAGAUCUCAUUUAGAGUGUCGCUUAAGACUUAGCGCCCUAUAAUAGAUUUCGUUUGGGGAGGGCAACAGAGUAUAUGAGGCAGCUCUAUUGCGUCCCGUGCGUGGUUGGUCACCAGGUCGACAUUCUGGUUCCUCGAUUGCAGGCCUUGUAGGAGGAUCACGGAAAACGGAAUGGAAGAGAGGCCAUAUCUGCUAUCUUUAGGUCAUUGCACUCAUCUUGUUGUUCACAUAUGGAUCACGGAUGGAUGUACUGUUUGGGUCACCUCUAUUAUCCGAAGAGCAGGAGUUGUCCCUUAGAUUUCUUUUAUUACCUUUGUCUAUAUGGCGCAACGGAUAAUCUCAUGGAGAAGAGGCUUUGCCUUGGGGCCCUUGGUGGCGAAGUUCCUGUUUGACUCAUCACUUGACUUGAGCUUGUGUCUUCACUAUUCACCCACUCUUGAAUUUUCAUCAUGUUCCUGCAUAUGUACCUGAGAAAUGGUGAAGUUGAAAGAUAGGUUUCAUUCUCUUUGGCCACAAUAUUCAUCUGAAGAUCACGAGCAAUAUUUUAUUGAUAGCUUCAUUGGGUGUCAUCUUGUCAAGAUAAUUCCCUUAGAUAAUGGAGUUGACCAAGUUAUAGUCAAGUUUAUUUGAAAAUGAUUUGAUGAUUUUCCUCACAUCCUCAUGUUGCUCUAGUUGCUUCAAACCUAGACCAUUAAUCUCAAUGAUAAGAAUAUUCAAACAUGAGAGCAUGUACUAGUGUAAUUUUUCUGUUGCAGUCUGUAGUAGUAUAAAGCCAAAACAUGUUAUAGAUAUUAUCAGAAUUCAAGAAAUCGCUAUGCCAAAAUUGCCCCAUUAUAUAUAAUAUUAAGUUGCUCAAUUCAUCUACAUAUUAUAUAAAAUAUGCCCAAGCAAGAAUAAGUAACAAUAUUUUGAUCAAGCUUCUCAAAAAAUAAAAUUUAGGACAAUCCUAGUAGAUAGCAUGAAGUUCUGUCUGAAGCUCCACUGGCUCAUUGUAUAUCUACUAAAGUUACUCCUCUUGAGCUACUGUAUUGACAAGAAGCUUUGUUGCCCGUUGAAGUAAAUCUAGAUGCAUAUAGAUUUGGCUAAGCAAAAUGAUCAAUCUGUUGUUAUAUAUCAUGAUUUAAUGAUGGACAAUGUCGACAAGGUAAAGAACUAAAGCCUAAAGGCUCUAAAGUAUAUUGAGAGAAACAAAGCUAGUGUUGCCUAGGCUUACAACAAGAAUGUGAAAAGUAAAUAGUGUGUAUCAUGCACCUGAUGAGGCUCCACCAGCAAUGUGUCAUGCAUAUCGUGCUCAGUGUUGGGGGACCGCGUUAGGCGUUCAUGUGCAACCAUGUUGUUCAGUGAUGGCUGACCUAAAAGUUGGGUAGGCUGAUUUUGGCCUGCAUCAAUUGAGCAUUCUAGCUCUUUGCUAGUGUGUAUGACCUAAUUGCUGUCAACACAUCGAAGCACUCAAGUCUGGGUGUCAUCAUGGUAUAGUUAAGCAACUGACGAGGCAUUUGUGAAAAUAUAUAUAGCAGACGGUUUUAAUGUUUCCUUACAUUUUCUUUUUGCGAGUAUGUUUCCUUACAUUAGUAUUGUUACUUUAGCAGAUUAGCUGGUAUGGCUGUGUAAGAAUUUAGUUCACAAUGUUAUCUGGCUACUAUCAGACAAUCUCGGCCCGACUUUCGUCCACUCUUAUCGAACUACUGCAAGUAGACGCUUAGAGGGUUCAAGCCUUCAAGGACUGUUUCGCUACUUAUACAGCUUGCAUUGUACUGAUUAAUUAACCUUGUGAGCUGUAUUUCGUAUCGAGAUUUCCAGGUACACAGAGCAGUAGUUCUUAAGUCCAUGACUAAGUUUGUCAAAAUCUUUGUGCAAAUCUCGAGGUCACCUCUGCAAUGUCAACCGCUGCAUGAGGAAUAGAAUCAUUCGGGUGAUCAGGGGAUGCCGGUGUUGACCUUCAAACACGCUGUCCGUGAAGACUUCAUGCAUGCAGGUCGUCGUUUACUAGUUUUAAUGUUAGUAUAAUGCUAGAACUUGAUCACAAAAGAUAUAUAACACUCUGGGUUACAUUAUUAUACGGGUGAUCCUGUCAUCUUUUGAUUUUCAUGUCUCCAGCUAGCUGUGCAUGUUUCAUGCUUGAGGGAAUGGAUAUAUAACACUCUGGGUUACAUUAUUAUACGGGUGAUCCUGUCAUCUUUUGAUUUUCAUGUCUCCAGCUAGCUGUGCAUGUUUCAUGCUUGAGGGAAUGGCCAAAUGCAGAGUCAUGAGCAUGCAUGAGAUUAUAUUGUAGUAUGCAUGCAUUAGAGCUUGGAAGUUGCUAGUGCUAUUCUUUUCUGUAUGGGAUCUUUGUCCAGCAACACAAUAUAUACCGAGACAAAGCAUACAAAUAAUUUUUAUGGAACUAGACCCAGCUUUCAUCUAUAUAUGAGACAAAGCAGUAUUGUCACUGAAUAUUUUCACACAUUUAGUAUAAAUGCUGGUCCAAAAAUCAGCAAUGACUCGAUGCAUAUCUUCACUGUAUAUCGAAAUGAAGAAUACAAACAAGUAAACUACUUAAACUAGAGUAACAAGCAGGUUUAGUUUCAAUGGGCUUUCCAAACAGCGAUGAAUGCUAAAACUUUGUGCCAUCCAUUAUCUUAUCUAUGGACAUGAGAUUUAGCUGACCACCUAGACAAAGCGUGGCAAGUGCCGUCUAUCACCUUGAAACUUGCAUGUAAUUUAUGGUCAAGUCAAGAAGCUCCAUUAAUUCCAUUGGAUUUUAAAAGCCUCCACUUGGUCUCCUAUUGAAACACCACUACCAUAUGUGCAUGCUAUGGAGGUAAAGAACCACUGCAUGGCCUCAAGCACUAUAAAUACCCAUGCAGCAUUCACUGGGAAGUCAUCUCAACUCAAGCAGCCCAUAUUGUUACCUCACAAUGUCAGGCACAAAGCUUGUAUCACUGGCGCUCAUUGUCCUCAUGAGCAUGGGAUUAGCCAAUGCUGUUAGGGUGGCUAGAUACUCUAGUGCUGAUGGGACUGGUACAGGACAGGGAGGGGGUGGCGGAUAUGUGAAUGGUGGGGGAUCAGGGUCUGGGUCUGGAACCGGAUCAGGUGAUAGUGGUCCUUAUGGUUCCCAUGCAAGUGCUGGAGGGGGCGGUGGAGGUGGUGGAACUAGCCAAUACGGCGGGUCUGGAUAUGGUUCAGGGUCAGGAUCAGGUUCAGGGUCUAGUACAUAUAGUCAAGGACGAUAUUAUGGCUAUGGAGGGUCUUCUAAUGCUGGUGGUGCCGGUGGGGGUGGGGGUGGAGGACAAGCUGGAGGUGCCUGGAAUUCCAAUGCUCAAGGAUACGGUAGCGGCGCCGGUUCUGGCUCUAGCUAUGCUAACAGGUAUUGGUAUGGAUCAAAUGACGCAGGUGCUAACGCUAAUGGCAAUGGUGGUGGCACAGGAAAUAGUCAAAAUGGUGGCGGUGGCGGUGGUUCUGGUGCCGGAACUGGGUAUGGCAAUGCCUACCCAUAAAUUCCAUAUAAGCCAAUCUAAAGUUGGAGCCCAUCGUAGUCUUUCAUUGUUUGAAGUCAUAAAGUUUUUUGUUUUCUUUGUCCCUUUGUUGCACUUUUGUUAGCAGUAAAUUAAUAAAGGGUCC